rnacentral:rRNA from 1 species
AUGGCCAUGGCACCGAGAGCGUUGCUCCUCCUGGCCGUCGGGCUCAUGGUCGUGGCCUCGGCGAGCGCCCACGGCGGCUACUACGGGUCGUGCCCCAGGGACAUGCUGAAGGUGAAGGCGUGCGUGAACGUGCUGGGCCUGCUCAAGGUCAAUGUCAACCAGCCGCGCGACGAGCACUGCUGCUCGCUCCUCGACGGGCUCGCCGGCCUGGACGCGGCGCUCUGCCUCUGA